rnacentral:rRNA from 1 species
CUUGUCUCAGUUCGGAUUGUAGGCUGAAACUCGCCUACAUGAAGCUGGAGUUGCUAGUAAUCGCGAAUCAGCAUGUCGCGGUGAAUACGUUCCCGGGCCUUGUACACACCGCCCGUCACACCAUGAGAGUUGGCAAUACCCAACGUACGUGAUCUAACCCGCAAGGGAGGAAGCGUCCUAAGGUAGGGUCAGCGAUUGGGGUGAAGUCGUAACAAGGUACC